UUUUUCUGCUCCUCACUGGUGUUGCUGGAAGUCGCUCCACAGCUGGCAGAUGAGCUGGCUGGGAAGAUACAAGGUGGCUGCACUCACUAUUGGGGGCCCUAGCUCGGAUGCCUGCCAGGCUGGGCUCAGCUGGGACUGCCUCCUACACGUGGCCUCUCCAGCAUGGUGACGUCACGGAAGCCUCAGACUCCUCACACAGAUGCUGGAUUCCCCGGAGGGAGUGUUUCCAGGGGUCCCCUGCAGAAUCAGCAAGCAACGCUUCUGACACCUGCCUCGGAAGGGCCAGAGCACCUCUGCUGUUGUGGUCCAUUGGCAAGCCAAUCACUAAGGCUGGCCUGUACUCAAAGGAAGAAUUAGAUCCCACCUCUCCAUGGGCCGCGCAGCAGAUAAUUCGGGGUCUUGGUUAAUCUACCAUGUUCUUUCUCUCCACUGCAGGGAAAUCUGAACUAACAAGAUUUUGAAUCACUCACCAAAUGGCGGUCUUCCUUUUAACUGAGUCUUAUCUCAUCCUACUACAAAAAUUUCCCAAGAAAAUGUGAAGAGUCUUGAUACGGAGCUCAGGCAGUCACGUGAGUGAAGGGGAGCGGCUGUAAACACAGAUGAAGCUUGGCUCACUCGCUCGCCAUUCACCUCCUGCUGUCCAGUCCAGUCCUGAACGACAGCCCUUUAAACAGAAGGACUCUGUUGUCUAGUUUUUUUACUGUUGUGUCCACAGCACCUAGAAUGACUCUUGGCACAUGGCAGGUACCCUAUAUAUGUUUACUGAAUAAACAUAUUUUUGUUUUCCUGAGGGCUAUGGUGCUUGGGUACAUAUCAGAAGGACCUGGGAAGCUAGCUAAAAAAAUAUGGGGCCGGGCAGGGUGGCUCAUGCCUGUAAUCUCAGCACUUUGGGCGGCUGAGGUGGGCAGA